CCUACGGGCGGCAGCAGUGAGGAAUAUUGGUCAAUGGCCGGAAGGCUGAACCAGCCAAGCCGCGUGAGGGAGGAAGGCGCAGAGCGUCGCAGGCCUCUUUUGCCGGGGGACAAACUGCCGGACUCGUCCGGUCCUGAGGGUACCCGGAGAACAAGCAUCGGCAAACCCCGUGCCAGCAGCCGCGGUAGUACGGAGGAUGCGAGCGUUGCCCGGUUUCAUUGGGGUUAAGGGGUGGGCGGGCGGGCCUUUAAGCCGGCGGUGACAUCGCGGGGCCAACCCCCGCCGAGCCGUCGGAGCUGGGGGGCUGGGGUGCGGGGGAGGAAGGCGGAACGCGGGGUGUAGCGGUGAAAUGCAUAGAUA
rnacentral:rRNA from 1 species